rnacentral:rRNA from 1 species
AUUUUGCGCAUGGGGGAAACCCUGNCGCAGCAACGCCGCGUGGAGGAUGAAAUCCCUUGGGAUGUAAACUCCUUUCGAUAGGGAAGAUUAUGACGGUACCCAUAGAAGAAGCCCCGGCUAACUUCGUGCCAGCAGCCGCGGUAAUACGAGGGGGGCAAGCGUUGUUCGGAAUUAUUGGGCGUAAAGGGUGCGUAGGCGGUUUGGCAAGUCUUAUGUGAAAUCUAUGGGCUCAACUCAUAGUCUGCAUGAGAAACUGCCGGGCUUGAGUAUGGGAGAGGUGAGUGGAAUUUCCGGUGUAGCGGUGAAAUGCGUAGAUAUCGGAAGGAACACCUGUGGCGAAAGCGGCUCACUGGACCAUAACUGACGCUGAUGCACGAAAGCUAGGGGAGCAAACAGGAUUAGAUACCCUGGUAGUCCUAGCCCUAAACGAUGAUUGCUUGAUGUGGCAGGUACCCAAUCCUGCCGUGUCGAAGCUAACGCGAUAAGCAAUCCGCCUGGGGAGUACGGUCGCAAGGCUGAAACUCAAAAAAAUUGACGGA